ensembl:lincRNA
GCCGCGCGGUCUCCGCGCAAGGAGCGAAGCGGAGAACUCGCCGAGGGCGGCGGGCGGCCGCGUUAGUGGGGCGGGCGCGUUCUAGUUCCUGGCCAACAUAGAAAUGUUGAGUAUCUUGGCUGAAUCCUCAUGCAGAUGGAAUCAUUAUGGUCCUGGUGUGGUAGUAUGCACCUGUAUUCCCAGAUGCUCAGAAGCCCAAUGCAGGAGUAUCACUGGAGCCCGGAAGUUGGAGGGCAGCCUUGAUGACAAAGGAAGACCCCCACCUCAAGAAAUUUUUAUUUAUUAUUUAUUUAUUUUAAAGAGGAAAAAAACAAAACAAGCAGAGCAAAGUAAAACAAUGCAAAUAACACAGGAUUUCAAAAAAAGACAAAGGAUGAGGAAAAUUUUGUGAAAAGAAAAAAGAUUUUUAAAAUGUCAAUAUCAUUGGAGUAAUGUUUUCAAAAAAAGUCUAUAAGCUGUUGAUAAAAACAUCUAUGCAUAUACACACAUAUACACACACACACACAAUUGUUUGUAUUUUCACUAGCAGAGUAUAGUGCACUACUAGUAAUAUAUGCCAUAUAGUCUAGGUACCAUUUCGAUUUGCACUCUGAUGUUUGCACAGUGAUAUACUUGCCUAACAACAAUGCAUUUCUCAGAAUAUAUCUCCAUCAUUAAGCAGUGCGUGACUGUACUGAAAAAAAUAUCAUACUGAACAGACUGGUUUAUUUGGUUUACUUUUCUGGAGAGAGUCACACGGUGUUGGCCAUCGUAGCCUGAAACUCCCAGGCUCAGCCAUCCUCCUGCCUCAGCCUCCUGAGUAGCUAGGACUGCAGGUGCAUGCCAAUGCGCCUGCAUGCAAAUAUUCAAUACAGCUUACAGUGGCCAGCCUUCAAGAUGAUUCCCAUUGGUCUUUAUCAUGUCAUGCAAUUGUGUAAUGCCCUUGUACAUUUCCUCAGGAUUGGCUUGUAUGACUGUUAGAAUGUAAGAAAAUGGUAGUGUACACUCUUAUGGCUAUGACAUAGAAGACACUGGUUCUUCUGCCUUGCUUCUGUUGGAUCACCCAGUCUGGAAGAAGCCACCACCAUGUUGUAGAAAAAAGACACUUGAGCCAAUCUUCAAGAAAGGGUGACAGCUGUACCCUCUGUCCUAUGUUUAUCAUGUCUGCCAACUCUGCAUUUUAAGUAAGAAGGCUUGUUUUAUUUGGUUUUUUUCUCUAGCACCUAGCACUUAGUAGGCAUCGACACACAUUUGUAGAGUUAGAUAAAUGAGUAGUCUUAAUAAAACUCUCCACUCCAAAACAUCCCAUAUAUAAUUUCCAGGGACAGUUAUAUAUUUGUGACAUUCUCUUGUUCAAAAUCUAAGUGCUUUCCUGUUGUCUGCAGAAUAAAAUAUGAACUCCUUAGCUGAGGUUUUGGGACUUUUCUAUUCCCCCAGCUAUCUGACCUUAAUCCUUUAUUUCUACUUUACUUCAUAUUACGGUUAGUCAAAGCAAUCCAAUCCAUUCACUAUUCCCAGGAGUUCUCCUCCCUUUUCCACAUUCAUAUCUUGAUUCAUAUUGUUUCUUUUUCUUGAAACGCCUUCCUCUCCUAUUCUAAUUCAUUUCCCUCCUUAGGACCCCCACAUGCCACCUUUUUCAUAAAGCAGUCUUGAGUGUCUCAGAUGGUAGUAAUCUCUCCCAGCUUUGGCGUCUCUAAGAUGCUGAUUGCUUGCUGCCUGUCACAUUUUCACAUUAUGGAUAUUUACUUACUAUAGUC